GGGUAUAGCUCAGUGAUAGAGUGCAUGCCUAGCAUGCCCAAGGUCCUGGGUUCAAUCCCCAGUUCCUCCA
rnacentral:tRNA from 1 species